ensembl:snRNA U6 U6 spliceosomal RNA
GUGCUUGCUUCGGCAGCACAUAUACUAAAACCGGAACAGUACAGAGAAGAUUAGCAUGGCCCCUGCACAAGGAUGACAUAGAAAUUCGUGAAGCUUCCAUGUUUUUU